rnacentral:rRNA from 1 species
UCUGGUUGAUCCCGGCGGAGGCCACUGCUAUCGGAGUUCGAUUAAGCCAUGCGAGUCGAGAGGUGCAAGACCUCGGCAUACUGCUCAGUAACACGUGGACAAUCUGACCUAUGGAAGGGGAUAAUCCCGGGAAACUGGGGAUAAUACCCUAUAGACUAUGGAUGCUGGAAUGCACUGUAGUCGAAAGGUCCGCCGCCAUAGGAUGGGUCUGCGGCCGAUUAGGUAGUUGUUGGGGUAACGGCCCAACAAGCCUGUAAUCGGUACGGGUUGUGGGAGCAAGAGCCCGGAGAUGGAUUCUGAGACACGAAUCCAGGCCCUACGGGGUGCAGCAGGCGCGAAAACUUUACAAUGCUGGCAACAGCGAUAAGGGGACCUCGAGUGCCAGGUUACAAAUCUGGCUGUCGAGAUGCCUAAAAAGCAUUUCAUAGCAAGGGCCGGGCAAGACCGGUGCCAGCCGCCGCGGUAACACCGGCGGCUCGAGUGGUAACCGUUAUUAUUGG